CCGAAAGGCUAUAAUUAUAAAUAUAGCGGAUAUAAAAUAUAGAAUUACUAUACUUUCCGCGAGGAGACCGCUGAUACAGCAGCGGGCCGGAAACCACGGAGACGCGAGCUAAGAGCUUCGUCUUUCGAGCAGCUUUGCGCUCAAAAUCUAGCCGCGUAUGUAAAAACUAUUCACCAACUAGGUGCCUGUCGCCAGGCACUUCUUCUAAACGAAAUAACGCAAAACCGAGUUUACGUAAAAACUCGGGAGUGAACAAAGAAUGGGUUCAAAAAGAUCAACAUCAGAGUCGCAUCGCGAAUAAAUUGAGAGUCGCGUUAAGCAAGUAAAAAAGAAAAACGGAGUCACACGAGGUCUAGAAAUAAUCAUACUCAGAGUCUUGAUAGAGUUUAUAUAUCAAUAUAUUGAAUAAAGAAGUGAACUUAAAAUCUAUCAAGACUACAAAUUAUUGAGAAAACUCCGACAAUUCGGAAGUCCUCUUUCUAAUCCGGCCUACAUCCCUAAGUGCUUUACCCGAGGUACAACAAAUUGGUGGCAACGGUAGUAUGCCAGAGAUCGCCGAGGUUUCCUUAUAGAAAAAAGUCUUGUAAAAACACAAAAAAUAUUUAUAAAAGAUGUUAGACGGGCACGUCAAUAGUCAAUAACGCUGACGGAAGCAAGCAGAAGCCACGGCAAUAACGAGAGAAAGAGAAAACGGACAACACAAGCAGUGCAACGAGUGAUAAGUAGCUGAGGAUCAAAAAGGAUCGUCAACAUCCAAGGAUCACAACGCUAAACUACGACAACCUCACGGGCAGCGCAUCACCACGAGCGACAAUUCGCCGUAUCUAUCACCAACAUGGAGCAGCUGUUAUCAGCUCACAAGUGAUCGAGUUGCAGCAGCAGCAGCAGCCGACCCGUAUAGAGCGUAACGAUGCGAGCAGUAAUACUGAUGUUUCCUGAAACGUUUGAAAUGAUUAUGCAAUUGAUUGAGCCAGCUUUAACUCUAACAAAUACAACAGGAAGAAAACAAAUAUCGGCAGAAAAACAAUUAUUAAUAACAUUAUAGUUUUUAGCUACUCCAGAUUCUUAUAGAUCAAUACAUGUCCAAUUUGGUGUUGGAAAAGCAACAGCAUUCAGAGCAGUAAGAAGGGUAACUUAUGCCUUGCAUUGUUUUGCACCAAGAUUCAUUCGAGUGGCCAAAAAAUGAAGUGCUACACCGUACUAUUGAAGAAUUUGCGAAAGCAAGGUUUUCCUAAUGUAAUCGGAGCCCUUGAUAGAUCAUAUAUUAGAAUUAGAGCUUCAAAGGAAAAUCCUGCUUCAUACAUAUGCAGGAAACAAUUUCAUGUGAUUCACUUGCAAGCGGUAUGUAAUGCAAAAACAGUUUUUAUUCACUGCUAUGCAGGACAUGUCGGCUCAGUACAUGAUGCAAGAGUGUUGAGAAAUUCUGCAUUUGCAGAAUUACAUUGAAAUGCCAAAUGAAUACUUUCCUUUCGAUACUCAUUAUAGCAGAUUCUGCAUAUGCAAUUUUUCCGCAUUUAAUGGUUCUAUUUAAAGAUAAUGGCCAUCUCACAGCACUUCAAAAAAAUUAUAACUUUUGUUUGUUAUCAACCAGGAUGACCAUAGAGCGAGCGUUUGGAUUAUUAAGGGUUCCGUAUUUUGUUAGAUUGCUUACUCCUGACUGAUAUAAAAAAAAAUACAAAUUAUAUUAGCUUGUUGCGUUCUCCAUAAUAUUUGCACUCUAAGAAAUGGUGAGUUUCCAGAUGUAGUAUAUUGUCACGUCCUGGGCUUCAAAUUCUGCGCGUUUACGCGCGUUCACGAGUACGCAUAGUGGAGGAAACCUGAGCAAGCGGGGCCGAGCGGUAGAACACGCGUGGUCAGGAGUAGGGGAAGAACGCGCGAGGACAGGAUAACAGAUGGAAUACGGAGAUUGGGAAGUAUUUUAAUAAUUAAAAUGUAUAAUUAGUUAGUACUUACUACCGUAAUA